GAGUGACUGUUAAUGACAUAAUGAACAUGUACAUUAAGAGAGGUUUGGAAGAGAGUCUUUUCUUGCUAGAAAGAGUAUAGAUCUGGAGCCAGGAUGCUGGACUAGUUAAGGGCCGCUGGUUGUGGAGUCAGAUGGACUGGGAUUAAAUCUUGACUCGUCCACCAACUAUCAACUUGAUCAAAAUGAAGUCUUAGUAUGUUGUCCAGGCUGGUCUUGAACUUCUGGCCUUAAGUGAUCCUCCUGCCUUGGCCUCCCAAAGUGUGGGAUUACAGGCAUGAGCCACUGUGUCUGGCUGAAAUUGGAAUUCUAAAGAAUCAAAUUUUGCCCCAAUUUGCUGUGCUGCCUGUGCUUGGAAUAAACAUUUUGCAGCCAUACAGAAAUCAGAAGAUUUAUUGAGAAUACGGUACAUGCUCCUAGUGGGUAGAGAGGAAUCAGACAUAGCUCCCGCCGUCAAGGAGAUCUGAGUUUCAUGAUGAAGAUACAAAAAUGAAAAUGACUAUGUGUGGAAUGUGCUAAUAGUGAUAUGAGCAGGGCAAGCUCAAGGCACGAGGGAAGGUCAAAGGAAGCUUAUGAAAGAAAGAGAUUCUUCGGCAGUGUUAAGCAAACAUCCAUGACACAGAUACUGCUGAAAAGUGACCUGUAUCCAGCUGAGGAGCACUGGUUGUACAUUUGUGUUUGGUGCUGACAGAAGAGUCUACGCUACUAAGAAUAUUAAGUUAUCAUCUGGCCUCUGGAUUGAGGAGGUAGCAUUAUAUAAGUAAAUGGAGGGUCAGAGACACUGUUGGUUACCCAAGAUCGUAUUCCAGAUCACUGGUGAAGCCUGUUAGCAACUCCAAGCA